rnacentral:sRNA from 1 species
UCGCAUCCUCAACACGGCCACACGAAUC